GAACCCUGUGGCCUGGGUGCAGACCUGGGAGGAGAGGGGCAUUGUGGGAUAGUGGGAGUGAGGGAACCUCUGUGUCCUGGGUACAAACCUAGUCGGGGAGGGGGAUUGUGGGACAGCGGGGGCUCUAGAAUCCAGGGCAGGCAGGGGCGGGCAAUUAUUUUGGGCAGAGGGCCGUUUACUGAGUUUUGGCAAGCCAUCGAGGCCCAUGCGACAGGCAGCCAGGGGCAGAUAAAUAUUAAUUUUCUAAAUUUUUUAGGGGUCGCGUGGGCCGGAUAGAAUGGUCUGGCGGGCCACACCCAGCCCGCGGGCUGCAUUUUGCCCACCCCUGAGAUUUGCUAGGGUAAGAAAAACAAGCCUGGAUCGUUGGAGAGGGGAGGAGGAGACUUAGAAACAGCCGAAGGUGUCUAAGUUCUGGCCUGAAGUAAAUAGCAGAUGUUUAAACAAAUAUUGAAUAAGUGAUGGUACAAACAGCAGGAAACCCUAGGAGUUCCUAGGGGUGUAUCCUGGUUGGAAGGUGUUAAAAAUCUACAUUUCUUGGAUCUCUGGAAAGCUAAAGACUGGCAUUGCCACUCUGGAAAGGAAGUGAAAGCAUAAAUGAUGUCCUGCCUGAA